rnacentral:rRNA from 1 species
UACGAAGGGGGCGAGCGUUGUUCGGAUUUACUGGGCGUAAAGGGCGCGCAGGCGGCUCAUUUUGUCAGGCGUGAAAGCCCCGGGCUUAACCCGGGAACUGCGUUUGAUACGGAUGGGCUAGAGUUCGGGAGAGGAGAGUGGAAUUCCCAGUGUAGAGGUGAAAUUCGUAGAUAUUGGGAAGAACACCGGUGGCGAAGGCGGCUCUCUGGACCGAGACUGACGCUGAGGCGCGAAAGCGUGGGGAGCAAACAGG